UUGCAGUCGAGCGAAUGGAUUAAGAGCUUGCUCUUAUGAAGUUAGCGGCGGACGGGUGAGUAACACGUGGGUAACCUGCCCAUAAGACUGGGAUAACUCCGGGAAACCGGGGCUAAUACCGGAUAACAUUUUGAACCGCAUGGUUCGAAAUUGAAAGGCGGCUUCGGCUGUCACUUAUGGAUGGACCCGCGUCGCAUUAGCUAGUUGGUGAGGUAACGGCUCACCAAGGCAACGAUGCGUAGCCGACCUGAGAGGGUGAUCGGCCACACUGGGACUGAGACACGGCCCAGACUCCUACGGGAGGCAGCAGUAGGGAAUCUUCCGCAAUGGACGAAAGUCUGACGGAGCAACGCCGCGUGAGUGAUGAAGGCUUUCGGGUCGUAAAACUCUGUUGUUAGGGAAGAACAAGUGCUAGUUGAAUAAGCUGGCACCUUGACGGUACCUAACCAGAAAGCCACGGCUAACUACGUGCCAGCAGCCGCGGUAAUACGUAGGUGGCAAGCGUUAUCCGGAAUUAUUGGGCGUAAAGCGCGCGCAGGU
rnacentral:rRNA from 1 species